GUUCAACUUGAGAAGAGACCUGUUCCUUCUGGGAAGGAAUUAUGGAGUUACCAAAUAGCCCCACCACACCGGUCCAGGCACCCUGAGGUCACGGACAAGUUCUCUGGAAAUGGGCUGGAGUCCUCACGAAGGCUCCGUUGGGAAGAUGUGGACACAGAGAGUCCAGGCACCUCCAUGCCAGGUGGAAGCCUUGGAGACGUGAUUGCUGCCAGGGUGUCUCCAGAGAUGUGAGGCCCAAUUUCCAUCUUCUGGCUCACAAGGAAUCCUAGCAAUGGGCCCUGGGUCCUACCUGCCCUCGUCUUCUGACUGCCCCUGCUAAUACUCAUUUCUGCCUCCAUGGGCUCCUACCUCCUCAUUCUAGGCAAUUUCCUUUUCGCUCCUCCCAGCUGAUGAGGGCCUCCUCCUGGCCCUAGGUCACUCCCAUGGUAAGAUAAAUGCAAGUUGCUUCCCAGCCAGGCUUGACCUCUAUCUACUGCCACCAACCCACCCCUCCCACUGUGCCUUCGUUUCCUAAGCUGUAAAAUGGGAAUCAUAGUAGGAAGGGUCCUUGAGGGAUGAAAUGAGAUCAUAUAUGCGCAAGUUUGCGGGAAUACAGGAGCCCAAUGUCUUAACAGUCUUCCGUCUUCCUCCUGACUCUGUCCCCUCAACCUUAGAUUCCCCAAGACAGCAACCACAGAGAGAGUGUAUAAAAGGAGACGCGAAAACAUAAGAAAUCAAAGAAGGGCCCCACCCUUUGAGAUCCUCUGAGCUGAUGGGAGAGAUACAGUCUCUGCCUCGGGGAGCUCCCAAUGUGUUUGUGUCUAGGUUUGUGUGUCUGUGUGUCUGUGUGGUAGUGGAGGGGCGUGUUUCCCAACCAGAGAGGAGAGCCCAGAUGUGUGUACUGGGCCUAGAACAACUCUUGUGGUGUCUUUUUAGCAGGCAGGGACAAUCAACAAAUUCAUUAAGUACCUAUUUACACAUCUAUUGUCAAAGCUAAUAAUUUGAUUUAACUAAGCUGAUUACCUUCAUUAAAAACCAUUAGUUCCCAUAAG
rnacentral:lncRNA from 1 species